ACACACACACACACACAAUGAAUCCAAAACUCUUAUUUUAUAUUUGGCAAAAAUUUCACCUCUUCCCAGUAAAACAAGAGCAAACUAACGUAACAUCAUCACACAUAGAUAAUAUCACCAUCACCUAGACCCUCCUUAUACACUCACUCAUACAAUAUUAACGGCUGUAAGUUUAUUAUUGACGGGAUGUUGGAAUGAAAUCAGGGUUCUGAUGGCUGAGGUGCAGGACAGAACACAUGAUCAUUUGGUGCUAUAAGAACCGUGUUCAUCUGUGCUAGUUUAAUGUGUUACUGGGCUGGUUGUAACAAUAUCAGUAAAGAAAGCAGUAAAACACAAUAGCAAGUGUGCAGGACUACAAGGUAAAAUAGAAUAAAUAUAAUAAAUAUCACUGGCAGCCACGCCUAAAUAUGGGAGCAGCCAGAAGAAGAAGAAAAUGAUGCACUAAUGCAGUUUUAUUUCCACAGCCUGAAGGACUAUUGAGGGAGAGUCACACUACAGCACAAUCCUUCACCAGCACCCAUAUAUGAACCCAGCUGAGGUGCUUUGCUAUCAGCAUGAGACUGCUGGGAAUAUUAAUUUAAUGCCUGUCAGACCAUCAGACCAGAACCACAGGAAGCUCCAGCACAUCGUACACUGUGUUGUAAAUGACAGUAGAUGAGAGGAGACUAGCAGACCAGCACCAGCGCAUCAUGUGUCACACAGCUGUACAUCAACUUCUGGUGCUAAAAUAUCCUCACCAGUGCAGUCCAACAACCACAGAAGAUCCCUGUCCAUGAUAUUCAAGAUCAACCUGAAGAGACUCCACAGAUCUUCACAUCAACUGUAGUCUGUUUAAUUAGAGUAAAAAUAAAGUAUAAUUAUAGAAAUAUCA